rnacentral:rRNA from 1 species
GCGAGGCCGAAAGGCGUAGUCGAUGGGAAACGGGUUAAUAUUCCCGUACUUCUUACAAUUGCGAUGGGGGGACGGAGAAGGCUAGGUGGGCCUGGCGACGGUUGUCCAGGUUCAAGUGCGUAGGCUUGAGAGUUAGGUAAAUCCGGCUCUCUUUAAGGCUGAGACACGACGUCGAGCACCUACGGGUGUGAAGUCAUUGAUGCCAUGCUUCCAGGAAAAGCCUCUAAGCUUCAGAUUGUAAGGAAUCGUACCCCAAACCGACACAGGUGGUCGGGUAG